GCGGACGUGGCGGAAGUGGUAGACGCAAGGGACUUAAAAUCCCUCGAUCUCCGAUCGUACGGGUUCGAUUCCCGUCGUCCGCACCA
rnacentral:tRNA from 7 species